CCUAUUACUUUGUGGUCCUAUCAUCCACAUGGAUAGUAAUGAUCUCUGUGACCAACUCUCAGGUCUGGCUUACAAAGGACAGUCACCAUUGAACUUCUGAGUGAUUCUGGUGGCAGUCUCAUCAGUGCAUUCCUGACGGCCUGGUGAAUGCCUAUUCUCUGAGUCUUCUCAUGGACCAUGAUCCUCUUGAAAGUCUCCUGGAUUCACAUAAUGUAUUUAUCCCAACGUUCUCUUUGCUGUCAGCUUUAUUAUUAUUUCUUUCUCUGCUGGCUAUAAGUACAACUCAGAUGAGGAAACAGGCUCUGACUUGAUCACAUUCAUGUAUCAAUUUAGUGGUUGACAUCCUGAAGACUGGAUUUCAAAUAAAAAUAAUAGUGAGCACCCACGAUGUGCCAGGAAUUGAAGUAGAUUCGUGGGAUGAGGACAAGACAGAAUCCACAUUCUUUAUGAGUUCAGAGAUUAACUGAGAGAGAAGAAAAGGACAGUGGCAAUCCUCCAUGGCAAGGGCUCUAUGGGGGUGCAGCAUCUUGUAAGAGAACACAGAGGACAGAUGGCCAUUCCAGACUCACCCGGAAUUGAAACUGGGCUCUGCACCUUGGGAAUCACAAGACUUAAAACAGGAUAUUUCACUUCCUCCAGUCUGUUUCUUAUCUAUAACAUGCAUCUAUUUCAUAUGGCUAUAAUGAGGAGUAAAUAAGGUCAUCUAGGUACAGGAUCUGAUACAUGAGUUAGGACCAGCUCGUUGCAUCUCAAGGAACGUGUUGAUCUACUUGAACUCUCUCUCUCUUUCCCCAGCUCCAUCUAGCUCUAAGUGCUUUAUCUCCACUCUCAGUUGUCAGACAUUUUGCAAGACAAACAGCAGCAUGCAAUGGGCUGGAGAAAGAAACAGCAGAAAGCAGAGUCAAAGAGCCCAGGGAGCCAUCCAUCACAAAGCUAUCCUGCCUUAAAGUGAAAAGUGCAAUUCCCUAAGACUCUGGUAACACCCGUGACUGAACAUCCUGCUAAUUUUAGCAAAAUAAUAAAUAUGAGUAAGUCUUGUUUAUGAAACUGACUGCAGCCAAAUGAAAGUGGGAAACCUUAGCUUACAAAGAAAUAAAAACCAGAAGCUCUUCCCUUUCAAUUGAAACCAUGAUUAACAAACAUUUGUAAAUCCAAGUUGCUCUCAAAAGAUCAAAAUUGGAAUGAUUCAGUGAUGAGAGCUUGCUAGAAAAAUUGUCUUCAGUACUUGCAAAACCAGCAUCAAUGAAGGUAGGAGAGUUGAAAGAGGCAGAGAGGAUUAGUGAAGGAAACUAUUUGUUUAGGUUCGUAUGUGCUAAAAACCCAGUGAAAUAAAAAUUGUAACCAAGGAAGAAUAAGAGAAUAUUAAAGCAAAGUAUUUUCUUUGAUGUUACUGCCUGCUUAGCUUC